UGGGGAAUAUUGCACAAUGGGCGCAAGCCUGAUGCAGCCAUGCCGCGUGUGUGAAGAAGGCCUUCGGGUUGUAAAGCACUUUCAGCGGGGAGGAAGGGAGUAAAGUUAAUACCUUUGCUCAUUGACGUUACCCGCAGAAGAAGCACCGGCUAACUCCGUGCCAGCAGCCGCGGUAAUACGGAGGGUGCAAGCGUUAAUCGGAAUUACUGGGCGUAAAGCGCACGCAGGCGGUCUGUCAAGUCGGAUGUGAAAUCCCCGGGCUUAACCUGGGAACUGCAUUCGAAACUGGCAGGCUAGAGUCUUGUAGAGGGGGGUAGAAUUCCAGGUGUAGCGGUGGAAUGCGCAGAUAUCUGGAGGAACACCGAUGGCGAAGGCAGGUCACUGGGCCAUUACUGACGCUGAGGAGCGAAAGCAUGGGUAGCGAACAGG
rnacentral:rRNA from 1 species